GCCCCCUCGGGCUCGCGCCGCCGCCGUGCAGCGCACGGAUCCUCGGGGCCGUUUCGUCCCCGCCCCCUCGCCCACAGGGGCCUCGCGGGCCGCAGCGCCGGGAGGGCGCGCGGGGGAGGGGCGCAGGGCGAGCGAGGCGGCGCCCUCCUCCCCUGCGGCCCCGCGCGCCCCGUCUCGGACGACUGGCCUCGCUCUCGCAGCCGCGGCGCCGCCUGGCGGCUGGGAGGUGAUUUGCAGGCCCAGCCGGCGCCGGUUGCGCGUGGCGGCUCAACGUUCGCGGAACCCCACGAGGACCCACCCGCUGCCCGCAUCAGUGGCCGCUGCCGCGGGGAGAAGGAGUAGCGUACAGGACAGGCACGCUGCCCUGCUUCCAGUUGGGCUUCGAGGGUUGGAAGCACACAUUAGGAGGAAAUGGCUCUGUUCGUGCAGAUUUUGUAGGUGAAAAAAGUGUGUCUCAGAGGAGUUAGAGAAGACCAGUUAAUAAAUGGCAAUGCUACAGCCUGGAACUCCUAUUUGGAUCCUGGACCUCCUAUCUCACUCAGCCCGGAUGAAAAUGUCUUAAGUCUGGGAAGAAAAUUCUGAGACAUGUUCUGCAGGAUGACUAUUAAGGCACAUCCUUGGUUUCAACACCCAGAGAAGGAAGGGGGAAGAAAGAGGCAAACUGAGGAGAGACAGACUUCGAGAUGCAUUUCCGGCCAGGACGCUAGGUUGAAUCCAUGGGCGCUCUGGAGCUAGAAUGGCUCUUCAGAGUUGUCCUGAGCUGGGCUGAGAUGGCCAGUUCUUUAUAUUCCUGCAUGGGAUGGUCCCUGGGUGUCCACCCCAGGAAGGGCUGCGGCCCAGGCAGUCCCUGAGAUGCCCGCCAGCAUUCCCUACAUCUGGAGCAGCAAGACCAACAUCACAGGAGGAUGCGCUGGGUGAUGGAUCACAGUAUUCAUCCCAGAAGACAAGGAUACAGAAUUGGCUGCUGCUACUGUCUAAAUGUUAAUGUUCCCCAAAAUUCAUAUGUUGAAACUUAAUUCCCUAAUGUGAUGGCAUUAGGAAGUGGUGCCUUUGGGAGGGGCUGUAGGUCAUGAGGGUUACACCCUAAUCUUAGGGUGUAAGGAUUAGUAUCCAGGGAGCUGCCUUUUCCUUCCACCAAGUGAGGACACAGUGAGAAGCUGCCAUCUAUGAACUAGGAAGUGGGUGCUUACCACCAGACAUCUAAUCCUCUGGCAACUUGAUCUUGAAUUUCUCAGCCUCCAGAGCUCUUGAGAAACCAGUUUCUGUUGAUUAUACGCCACCCAGUCUAUAGCAUUUUGUUAAAGCAGCUGGAACUAAACUAAGACACUGACAUUUUCUGUAACAAAAAGAUAGAGUGAGUCUCUGUAGCACACCAUGUAACAGAUGUUUUUGAAAAAAUAAACUCAUUUCAUAUGUUUCCUCGAGAUAAAAAGAAAAUAGCCUAACAACAAAUGAGAAAAUAGUUGCUUUAGAAAUAUUGCACCCUAUGGAGAGAGUAUUCUGGAUUUUUGUUUUUUGUUGUUGCUUUUUAACUUUUGCUUUAGGUUUGAGGGUACAUAUACAGGUUUGUUAUACAAGUGAACUCAUGUCACAGUGGUUGGUUGUACAGAUUAUCUCAUCACCCAGGUACUAAGCCCGGUAACUCAAUAGUUGCUUUUUCUGCUCCUCCCCUCACCCGCCACCCUCAAAUAGGCACCAGUGUGUUUUGUUUCCUUCAUUAUGCUCAUGAGUUUGAGAGAGUAUUUGGAAAAAGAAUGUUAGAAAGCAUUUCUGCUCUUAGAUGAUUUAAAGUCAAAAAGCUAUACAAUGGUGUCUCCUAUAUGCACGCAAGCAUGGACACAGAAUUGUUUCAUAUGUUUAAAACUUUUCUAGAUC